ensembl:lncRNA
UGAUACAAAUAUUACAAGUAAAAAAAACAAAAAAACGACAGCUUUAUCAAUAACAGUUACAGUAGCAACAAUAGCUACAGUAGCAAUAAUAAUUACACUAGCAAUAAUAAGUGCAGUAACAACAAUAGCUACAGUAUUUUUUUAUUUUAUUUUUUAACUCCUUUAUAAUGUUUUUUUGUAUACAUAUGUAUUUAUACAUAUAUUUUUUAAUUAUUUAAAGGAAAACAAUGAAAUUAUAUUAUGUGUGGGUAAUAGUCUUAACUGCUGUAAUUUUAAAAUUUUUAAAAUGUGUGACUAUUCUGUGUCAGUGUUGUUACCACUUACUAAUAUAUGUAAAGAUUGCUAUGGUAAAAAAGAAAAAACAAAUCCAUUUGAAGAUAAUACUACCAAUAAAAAUAUGUUAAUUACAUAUUCUUCGACCGUUAAUAGCUUACCAUGUAAAUUGACAAUUGAAAAAAGUUCUAUAGGUUAGUGCAUUUUUUAUUUACACAUAUACAACAAGCCAUGUUCACAGUAAAUAAGUAUAUAUAUAUAUAUAUAUAUAUAUUUAUACGUUUAAACACGCGGAUUAAAACGAAAAAACAUAAAAAAUGAAAUAAAUUAGUACAAUAUAGCAAAACACAGCAUAAAAAACAAGCAAGUAAGCAAACAAACAAACAAACUAAUUAACUAACUGACUCGCUAUAUUUUUUUUUUUCCUCUUUUGCAGAUUUAUCACAGAACAUACUAGAGCUAGUCUAUAAAUUAUUAAAAGGGUCAAGGAUAUAUAAAAAAAACAUAUCCUUAGCAUUGUUUUAUUUUCACUUUUUUUAUUCCUAUCUUUCUUUUUUUUUAUUUAUUAUUGCCAUUUGUUUCUUGCCACCUAUUAUAGCGGUUGUUGAUUAUUUAUUGUUUAUUUUUAUAAUAAUACCAGUACUUUCGGUGAUCCUCUUAAACAAUAACAACAAUUCUACAAUAAUGAACGACAUUCCAGAUAAAAAUAUAAAAAAAGAUGCAGUUAUUAAGUCUUUGGUAAAAAAUAAAAAAAUAAAAAAAAUUAAAAAAAUAAAUGAACGAACAAACGAACACAAACAUGAGCUUAAAGAGCUGAUAAUACUGUGUUUUUAUAUUACCUACGUGCUUGUACAAAUUUUUUAAUAAAUAUAGAAUGUGUGUGUUUAUAUCUUCCAUACAUAUACAUGUUUGCUUCUAUUUUUUCAUUCACGAGUUCGUUUAUUUAUUUUAUUUUAUUUUAUUUAUUCUUUAUUAUUUAUUCUUUAUUAUUUAUUAUUUAUUAUUUAUU